rnacentral:rRNA from 1 species
CCUACGGGAGGCUGCAGUAGGGAAUCUUCCACAAUGGACGAAAGUCUGAUGGAGCAACGCCGCGUGAGUGAAGAAGGGUUUCGGCUCGUAAAGCUCUGUUGGUAGUGAAGAAAGAUAGAGGUAGUAACUGGCCUUUAUUUGACGGUAAUUACUUAGAAAGUCACGGCUAACUACGUGCCAGCAGCCGCGGUAAUACGUAGGUGGCAAGCGUUGUCCGGAUUUAUUGGGCGAAAAGCGAUUGCAGGCGGUUCAAUAAGUCUGAUGUGAAAGCCUUCGGCUCAACCGGAGAAUUGCAUCAGAAACUGUUGAACUGGAGUGCAGAAGAGGAGAGUGGAACUCCAUGUGUAGCGGUGGAAUGCGUAGAGAUAUGGAAGAAAACCAGUGGCGAAGGCGGCUCUCUGGUCUGCAACUGACGCUGAGGCUCGAAAGCAUGGGUAGCGAACAGGAUUAGAUACCCUGGUAGUC